rnacentral:lncRNA from 1 species
GCCCUGUUCAUCACCAUCAAUUACUUUGGACACUUCCCAGUGCAGCCCAGCCAAGGGGAUUACCUGGACAGCCCUCUUCAUGCCUCAGGACCUGAACCCUGGAGCCUCCAUCUCAGAGACACAGCAGUGGUUGCAUUGGCACCCGUUCUCCAGAUACUGCCAGAUGCUGACUAACUUCACUGGCGCCAAAAAGUAUGGAGUUGAAAUAUAGUCACUUGGACAGCAAAUGGAACCUGAUAUUAAGUCACCAUCUGGGAAUGAUGCCGGCCCCAGGAACUGGCUGUGUUGGAGAAGACCUGGUAGAGAAACAGGAAGCAGCAGCUCCCACACUCAGACAUGCUCCAGAGUAUGCCAUGUGGCUAAGGAGGGCAAAGAUCAGAACCUUUGCUCAAAUAACCUCUGCAUUUCACCCCUCAGGAGAGUGGGUGGGAGUGGGCUGCAGUGAUGAAACCACCUGGUUUGAAGAUAAGAGUUCCUCCAACAGAACCAUUUACCCAUCUAUCUCUGUCCCUGCACAAAGUCUGACAGGCAUGGGCAUCCUCACAGUUCUCAGAGCUCUGCACAGGCCACUCUACUCAAGUCUGUGCUCACAGAGUCACUGGAAGGUGGGCAAAGGCAUAUUCUGA